AUUGAACGCUGGCGGCAGGCCUAACACAUGCAAGUCGAACGGUAACAGGAAGAAGCUUGCUUCUUUGCUGACGAGUGGCGGACGGGUGAGUAAUGUCUGGGAAACUGCCUGAUGGAGGGGGAUAACUACUGGAAACGGUAGCUAAUACCGCAUAACGUCGCAAGACCAAAGAGGGGGACCUUCGGGCCUCUUGCCAUCGGAUGUGCCCAGAUGGGAUUAGCUAGUAGGUGGGGUAACGGCUCACCUAGGCGACAAUCCCUAGCUGGUCUGAGAGGAUGACCAGCCACACUGGAACUGAGACACGGUCCAGACUCCUACGGGAGGCAGCGGUGGGGAAUAUUGCACAAUGGGCGCAAGCCUGAUGCAGCCAUGCCGCGUGUAUGAAGAAGGCCUUCGGGUUGUAAAGUACUUUCAGCGGGGAGGAAGGGAGUAAAGUUAAUACCUUGGCUCAUUGACGUUACCCGCAGAAGAAGCACCGGCUAACUCCGUG
rnacentral:rRNA from 1 species